rnacentral:lncRNA from 1 species
UGCCCUGUAUCAGACUCUUAGAGCAUCAGCAGAGAUAGACAAGCUUGCCCUGUAUCAGACUCUGAGAGCAUCAGCAGAGAUAUGCAAGCUUGCCCUGUAUCAGACUCUGAGAGCAUCAGCAGAGAUAUGCAAGCUUGCCCUGUAUCAGACUCUUAGAGCAUCAGCAGAGAUAUGCAAGCUUGCCCUGUAUCAGACUCUUAGAGCAUCAGCAGAGAUAUGCAAGCUUGCCCUGUGUCAGACUCUGAGAGCAUCAGCAGAGAUAUGCAAGCUUGCCCUGUAUCAGACUCUGAGAGGAUCAGCAGAGAUAUGCAAGCUUGCCCUGUAUCAGACUCUGAGAGGAUCAGCAGAGAUAUGCAAGCUUGCCCUGUAUCAGACUCUGAGAGCAUCAGCAGAGAUAUGCAAGCUUGCCCUGUGUCAGACUCUUUUAAAACAUCAGCAGAGAAUUGGUUUUGCCCUGUUCAAUUUUAGAGCAUCAGCAGAGAUAUGCAAGCUUGCCCUGUGUCAGACUCUGAGAGCAUCAGCAGAGAUAUGCAAGCUUGCCCUGUAUCAGACUCUGAGAGCAUCAGCAGAGAUGUGCAAGCUUGCCCUGUGUCAGACUCUUAGAGCAUCAGCAGAUAUCCCAAGCUUCCCUGU